CCCUUAGAUGUUCUGGGCUGCACGCGCGCUACACUGAUACUUUCAGCGAGUCCACCACCUUGCCUGGGAAGGUGGGGUAACCUCUGGAAAGUGCAUCGUGAUGGGGAUCGAUUAUUGUAAUUAUUAAUCUUCAACGAGGAAUUCCUAGUAAGCAUGUGUCAUCAGCCCGUGCUGAUUACGUCCCUGCCCUUUGUACACACCGCCCGUCGCUCCUACCGAUUGGGUGUGCUGGUGAAAUGUUCGGAUCGGCCGUUUGUCGCGGUUUCCGCGGCUCGUGGCUGAGAAGUUCAUUAAACCCUCCCACCUAGAGGAAGGAGAAGUCGUAACA
rnacentral:rRNA from 1 species